ACUCUUCCUCCUCCUUCUCCCCUCUUCCUUCUUCUCCUCCUUCCCCCAAAGAGCACACUUUAUCAUGAACGGUUGACAUCACCUUAGGGUGGAAGGAUGGAAAAAGUAUCUGGAAAAAUAAAUGGAACUCAGAGACAAGGUGCUGCUCUUCUGAUAUCUAAUGAGUAGAUUGCAAAUUAAAAGAUGUUCAAGGAAGAUGAAGGUUUCUCCAUUCUCCAUCAGUUAAUCCAUCAAGAGGAUAAUAUGAGUCUAAACACAUGUCAAUAGAAAGAGAAAGACUUUCUGAACAGGGUGAAGUUCUUCUGAAAAUAAAUCAACAAAUGAAACCUUAUAGAUUUCUUUUUGUUUGUUUGCUGUUUUUAAUUUUUUUCCUUAUAAAUUUCUAAAAACCUCUGUACUUUAAAAGUAACUGCCCAAGUCCAGAGGCAUCUCACAGAGAAGGGAGAAUUUUUGGCCAGCUAUGUUUCUGAUGAGGGGUUAGAAUAGAAAAAGAACAACCCUUCAACAAAAAACAAACUACUUAAUCUAAAAGUGGGCUAUGGAAUUGGACAGAGAACUUUCAAGAGCAGAAAUAUAAAUGAUUGCUAAAUAUUUUUAGUUUUCUACCUUAGUCAUCAGGGAAAAUGCAAAUUAAAACUAUUUUGAGAGUUCAUCUCUCCCCAACAGAGUAGCUACCACUAAGCAAACAACAAUAGUGGUGAGGAUGUGGGGAAAGGGGAAGAACCAUUCACUCUGGAAGUGGCCGUAAUCUCAUGCAACCAGUAUGGAAAGCCAGUAUGGAGGUUUUUCUCAACAUGACAAACUGAACUGCCAU
rnacentral:lncRNA from 1 species